CCCUCUGCCUGUCAUGUUUGUCUCGUGGACCCUCAUCUAGGCCCCGGAUGCCAGGAGAGGCCGGGGUCCGGAAGCCCCACCUCCAGGCAGUGGGAGAGGGUCCUGGGGAGGGGCUGCUCUUCCAGGCUUGGCUGGGAACCUUAAGGCAGAGCAGAGCAGCUGGGACCCCUUGUUUUCCUUUCUCCCCUGUCUUUCAAUCUUUUCCUUCUCUCUCUGCUUUCCCUGCCUCUCUUUACACUUCCCCUUCUAAGUCUGUUUCUUUAAAAAGACAAAACCAGCACAUUAGUAAUCUAUUGACUCUUACUUCAUCAUUGCCUCCCCGCAAAAAAUCCCUCUCAAUCCCAAAACUCACAGACUCAUUUCUAUUCCUACGCAUUGGUUACAACAAAGACGGUGCUGAGGACAAACCGCUCUGAUGACAGCCACCUCCUCCAGGAGUCUUCCCGAGGAACCUCUUGAUGUCCAAUUCCACCUGCACCUGCUCUGCUCAGAAGCCCUAGAAUGUGCUCCAUCUUCUGCGGAGUGCCUGUCUCCAGCUCUCCUCCAGGCCGUGCCCCACCUCUGCCCUCCUCCAUCCUGCAUAGCCCUGGCCCCCCAGUGUCCCUGCCUUCUCCACCUGGAGGCCCCUCCUCCCACUCUGACACCAGCCCACCUGACCUUUCUAGGGCUACUGCCUCCUUGAAAGUGUCCUCAUGCACCCACGUAUGCACACACGAGGUAGUCUCUGUUCUCCUCAGCUCUAAUGAGUCUCAUGUAGAUAACAUUUCUCAUUCUGAUCCUCUCUAAAGUUGCAGGUACGGCCCAUGGCACCUUGACGGCUGUCAAUCCCACAACACUGCGCAUCCACGGGCCCUCUGAAAGGCCGCAUUGAGUUGGUUCCCACACAUGACAAUAUCCUUCUGUUUGCCUGAUCCAAACACUUUCCUGAAAAUCAUCUGUCCGACACAGGCAUUGCCCAAGACCUGUUCACCCAACAACAACAUCUCCGUGUGUGUUGGCUCUGUGUGUGUUGUUUUGAGAAGUACGCAGCAGUAAUAUUCUAGUCCAGCACCCUCUGGCAGAAUGGACACACCAUCCUGCUGGAGUGCUGCGGAAGCUUCUUCUGGAAAACGGGAACCUCAAGGGAUAAGGCAAACUCCAGGGAGAGAAGAUGAUCUCCCCAGUGACAGGAGCAAAGUGACACUGUGAUAGGCAGGAGGGAAGGACACCCAUCCCACGAUUGCAGCACACCCACAUGCAGGAUGCACUCAGGGUGAUGCCGGUCUCCCAGCAGUGGUUCCUAGGCCUAGGGAAGGGCACUGAGGCGUUGGUCUCCCAGCAGUGGUUCCUAGGCCUAGGGAAGGGCACUGAGGCGUUCUCAUGGGGCCUUGCAGCCAGUGGGGCCUUCCUGAGUCUGACUGAUGCUUCAGACAAGAGUGAAGCACACAGGCCGACAGUGGAGGAAGCAGGAGCAAAGCUAUGGCCACAGCGGAAUGCACAGCUCUGGGCUCUAAACACCACUUCCCACACAAGUCCCCAGUCCUCCCAGAUCGGGAGCCUGGCUGGCAGAGCCCCUGUCCCUGCCCAGGGCUGCCCCAAGGAGGACCUGUCUGCAGCAGCCCCCAACCUGUGUGCACAGGCUGCCUGCUAUGAGCUUUGACUCUCUCCCUGGCAGGUUCUUACCCCAGAGAGCAGCCCAGCAGGGUGGGUCCUGGGCCUGGGGUGAAGAGCUGGCUGUCUGCUGGGGGCUUGCUUGGCCCACCCUAUGCAGGUAGAAGCUUUCUUGAUGAGGACACUGCCCCACACAACCCAGUGCCCAGCCUGUGCCAUGAGCCCAGCCCAUUGCUCACCUGCUGGCCUCUGAGUUUCUGAGUUCAAUUUCAUCUUCUGCCAGUAGUGGACUGAAAACUGCUAUGGGCAUUCAGGCAUGGGGGAAUUAAGCAGAAAUUCUAAGCUCAAACUGCCACCAGGGCCCAUCAGGCCUCAUUCAUUGACCGGGCUUCUUCCCCCAUGAACUUCUGCAGAAGGGCAGGUCAUCUCCCAAGGGCCUUGGGGUGCACAAUGCCAGAGGCUGUUGGCCAAGCCACUUGGAGUCCCCAAAGCUUGGAUCACCUUUGGGAAUGUAGAGCAAAUUUGAACCCCAAGUGGCCCAGAAGCCUAAAUUAGCUGCUGAGAGCAGGUUUUCCAUGAACAUAAAUGUGUUCUGGGCAGAGCUGACAGAUUUCGGUCACACAUCAGUUGGAAGCCAAGGUUCCCAACAAGACCAGACUGCAGCAGACCCUGCCUCCUCGGUGGGACCAGACACGGCCACGUUGGACUCUACACAUCCUUCUGGACACAACAGCUCCUGGCCGCUUGGGCAGCACCGGUGGACCCUGGGGGAGGAGUCACCAUCUUGAUGUUACAAGCCAGGGACUGAGGUCCUCAUGGGACCUGCCUAGCUCCAGCAAUGGUGACCUCCCCUCCCCAGCACACGCCUCUGUCUCCAGAGGGCUGAGGGACAUAGCAGCCAAAAACCAUCAGGACUAGACAGGCCUUUGCAAGGAUGGGAAACUGAGUCUGGAGGGUCAUAAGGGCCUCCAGUCCUCUGAACAGUGCUAGUCCAUCACACCUCCUACACCAGGGUGGAUUUAGGGGUUGAAUCACAUCACACCAUGGACUCAAAAACACCAUGGACAAGCCGGUGGUGGCGCAUGCCUGUAAUCCCAGCACUUGGGAGGCUGAGGCAGAGGAUUGUUGUGAGUUUGAGACCAGGUCUCCUUAUCUAUGCAAAAGCAGAAAUGACAACAGCCAGGGUUCACAGGGAGGCUGCAAGGGUUGAGUGACAUAUAUGUGUGUGCUUAUGUAAUGUACAAUAAUGCCGGAGCACUCUGUGUGCCUGUGU